UGGCUCUCGCAUCGAUGAAGAACGCAGCGAACUGCGAUAGGUAAUGUGAAUUGCAGAAUUCAGUGAAUCAUCGAAUCUUUGAACGCACCUUGCGCCCAUUGGUAUUCCGAUGGGCAUGCCCGUUUGAGUGUCGUGAAACCUAUCGACCCCUCGGUCUUUGUCGAUCGCAGGUGGUUGGAUUUGGGGGCUUUGCUGCCGAAGAGGCGGCUCCCCUUGAAUGUGUCGGUUGGGAAAAUGAGCUUCGAAACCGGGCGUUGUACACACCUCGCUCCAGUAGUAGCGGCUCGUUGUAAUGGCCCUUCCUCGACUUUGGCCUUUGGAGCGGCCGGUCACCAUUUGACUUCUGACCUCAAAUCGGGUAGGACUACCCGCUGA
rnacentral:misc_RNA from 1 species